GCGCCGGUGGUGUAAGGCGAACAUCGCUGCCCGGAAAGCAGAAGAUGCGGGUUCAAAUCCCACCUGGCGCA
rnacentral:tRNA from 1 species